rnacentral:rRNA from 1 species
AACGAACGCUGGCGGCAUGCCUAACAUAUGCAAGUCGAACGAGACCUUCGGGUCUAGUGGCGCACGGGUUCGUAACGCGUGGGAACCUGCCCUUAGGUUCGGAAUAACUCCCCGAAAGGGGUGCUAAUACCGGUUAAUGUCUUCUGACCAAAGAUUUGUCGCCUUUGGAUGGGCCCGCGUUGGAUUAGCUAGUUGGUAGGGUAAAAGCCUACCAAGGCGACGAUCCAUAGCUGGUCUGAGAGGAUGAUCAGCCACACUGGGACUGAGACACGGCCCAGACUACUACGGGAGGCAGCAGUGGGGAAUAUUGGAAAAUGGGGGAAAGCCUGAUCAAGCAAUGCCGCGUGAGUGAUGAAGGCAUUAGGGUUGUAAAGCGCUUUUACCCGGGAUGAUAAUGACAGUACCGGGAGAAUAAGCUCCGGCUAACUCCGUG